UCGGAAAUUGGCUCGUCGGAAAGGAAUUUCUGACGGGAAGGCCCUUCAGAAAUAUUUCCGACGAUAUCCGAUUUACUUUUUUUUGGUAGUGUUCAAGUUAAUUUACGAAGAAAGAAGAAGGAGAUAGAAGAGAGGUAUAGCAUAGUGAAAGGAGUCUUAUUUGGUAGCCAAGGAUGACUUGCGUGCACCAUUUUGGAAAGCUCAUUUAAUAUAUUUUAUAUUACAAAAGGUACGUAGCGCUAUUACUAGUGCUAUGAUUAUCUAAAAUAUAUACAUUAUCAGAAGUUCUAGCAAGUAGUUUAGUAGUUCUAACAAAAAAAGGUUCCUACUUUGUCUUCUUUUACAGUUGCUAAAGCAAACAGCGGUGGAACUGCUAGAUAAACAGAAAAGACCGACUCCUUAUUUUCUAAUAGUAUGAGGCAAAGCUAUGAUUUCAACAUUAUGGAUUUUAGAUUUUAGAACGAUGACUUUUAAAUGCUAAUAAUUAUGGGUUCUAUGGGUUUUAGUUUUACUUAUGCAUUGUUAUGCAAUGAUUAGUAAUGAGGAGAUUUUUAUGCAUGAGUUACUUAAUUUACAAAGGG
rnacentral:lncRNA from 1 species